UUUUUAUAUUCUCUGUGACGAUCAGAAAUGUAGUGUUUUGAUGUUUGUGUUUCAGGUGCAGGUGUUGCAUGAGCCUGGUUAUAAACCCAUCCUGCUGAUGGGUCCAGGAAAGGUAAUGAGCAGUGGGGUAACAUUGUCACAACCUUGGGUCCAGUUGAAUUGGGCCCACACAAAUUCACUUUAAAAUAGAUGGUAUGUCUCUUAGUGCCUUCUUAAAAGUAAGUCAGAUUCUGUAUAUUGAAAUUAAAGAAAUCAGAGCUUGACACCCUGCAUGUAAAAAAAAAUACAUUUAUUGGAAGACUAGAGAUUGAUAAGUUACUGGUUUGUAAAUAACCAACCAGCCCUUAAGUCCUUUAGCCUACAUUUUAUUAUGUUUAUUAUGUGACCCUUUAACCCGUUAGCUGGCUAACGGUAGCUAGGCUAGGGCGUGGGGUUAGGGUUAGCUAGGCUAGGGCGUGGGGUUAGGGUUAGCUAGACUAGGGCGUGGGGUUAGGGUUAGCUAGGCUAGGGCGUGGGGUUAGGGUUAGCUAGACUAGGGCGUGGGGUUAGGGUUAGCUAGGCUAGGGCGUGGGGUUAGGGUUAGCUAGGCUAGGGCGUGGGGUUAGGGUUAGCUAGGCUAGGG
ensembl:lncRNA